GACACUUGCCCUGGACUCUCUCCUAUUCCCUUCUUCUAUGGGCUGUAGCACAGACGUGGUAGAAACCCAGCUUUGGUAAUGCUGAUGAGCACAUCAGGGAAGGAAGAAACCUGUGUUGUUUAAUGACCUUCACCACCUGGACCAGAGGGACCGUAAUGUGAGAAAUACAUUUCUAUCUACUGACCACUGAGUUCGAGUUCAUGGAGAAUGCCAUUUCUUCUGCACAUUCAAAUGUGACCCUGCCAUAAGGACCCUGGAGGCCACAUAUUCCGGAUGGCAGAGCUACAGGAUAGAGGAGAGCCGCCCACCAUAUUGGACUUAAUUUACAAUAUUAAUCUAAGGGCUGGAGUGGAGGAGGCACCUUAGAUCAGGAGGCGGAAGCAGGAUAUUGAAGAUGGUAGAGCAAAACAACAAAAGAAGCCUGGGUUUCUGACACCAUACCUGCCAUGGACACGAUAUAUUUGGAUUGUUAAACAAGAGCGAAACUAAUUUCUAUCUGACUUAACCCAUAAUUCUUUUUGGAUUUCUCUUAACUGAGGUCAUGCUAACUCUAACUAAUACAAAGGUAUUGAGAAUCUAAAUUAUCACGGCAUUUAUGGAAAUGAAAAUAAAGACAGAUCUGAGGUGCGAUAUGACAAACAGAAUUUGUGUAUCUCCAAGCUGAACAGCCUUCCCUUCCCUUUCAUUUCCUAAAAUGACCCUGACUUCUUACUGUACUGCCUAUAUCUCCUCUUCUCCCUUGACCUCCCACUUACUAAGUUCACUGGUGCCUUUCUAUAAACAAGGGUAAUCACUCUAACCCUGCCUUUCUGGCACCAAACUGUCCCAAUUCCUAAUUUUCCAAGCACAGUCCUAAAGUCGUAUUACCUCCACCUGCGCUUUCCCUCUUCCUCCUUGCAGGCUCUCACCACUCCACUCCACGCUGCACACCACCACUCCAGCUGUACUCCUGCACACCACAUUCACCACGCCACAAGCCCUGAUUGAAAACCAUUAAUGACUACUUACUGGCUAAAGAGCCGUGCUACCGCCUUUCACCUCCCAACCUCGCAAUGGACACACCAGAGAACGCAAAGCAAUCACAGCGGCGCCCUCCAAAGGAGCGGCCCAGAGUCCUUCCCGACGGAGUGUUUCCAUAGCCAGUAGCGACCAGCAGGAACUGGCACUCAGGAAGAAACCCACUUGUAUCCCUGAUAUAAAAGAUCAAAUCGAAACUCCUCGGUUUGUAUUCCAAAACUCCGAAGUGUCUAUUACUCUCUCAAAGUUUUACAGAUAAUGAGCCUAUAAGAAAAAAAAAAAAAAAAAAAAGAUGUGAAAGCCUUUGAAAUGGAACAAAAACUUACUGGGUAUCUUCAGUGAAAAACUAGUUUUUGCCUAGCGGACCCUUCUGGGUUUUUUGAUUCUACAGGAUCUCUGUAUCAGUCAUUGUCUUUGAGCUAUUUAUAACUCUGUGAGUUAUAGAUGACUGAUUGCUAUGCAAAUGAUUCUUGUACAUAGACAUGAAAUAAAUUUUGUCUGGGGAGGUUCAAUUGAUUUCCUUCCUCCACUAUGGAAGAAGCCAGUUUUGCCUCUAUUUUAAAUUCACUUCAGUACUCUAUUGCUCUUUGAAUGUUCCUUUAAGUGAGUUGUAACAUCUU